rnacentral:lncRNA from 1 species
CCUUGAGGGAAUUUGCAAUGUUCCUAUCGGCUGUUGCAAUAUUCCAAUGCAAACAAACUUCAUUUUAAAUUUUCCUAACUUCCUGUUUUAAUUUCCUGACUUCCUGUUCUGUUCUGGGCGUUGUUAUUGGUCGAUUAUUUUUGUUAGCCAAUUGCAACGCCCAGAACAGAACAGGAAGUUAGAAACUUGUAACAGGAAGUUAAGAACUUCUAACAGGAAC